UUGAAUAUAAUGGAGCAAAAAUGCCCAUUUAUUAAUCUGAUGUACAUUAAAUAUCUUUGCAUUUGUUACAUGAAUGUCAGGUAUCUGGCAGAUAAAUUUACAUACACUUCCACAGUUGAAUAGAUUUAUACUGUAUGUACAGUCAUUCUACACAGAGCAUGCCCUUCCACCAAGAUACAGACAACUUCCUCCAAGGCUUUUGGUAAAAACACACUUGGUCAAACAUUAUGGCAGUCAGCAAUCUGACACAGACGGUGCAUUCCACAGGGAUGAGUUCACAAUUGGACCAGCUGGACUCAGGAUGAAAAAAUCCAGAAACCUGCAAGUGAGGAUUUAUCGAGGGUACACACAUGCAAACACAUAUAUACAAUAGUGGUGACUGGGAUCCACGUGAUAGAAGGGCACACAGAGCAGGAAAUACAGAAACCAAAAACAAGGUCAGGACCAUUGCCAAGAUUUCUCUGCAAAUGAGUUGAUCUGAAAGUGUGUCCAAAAAGGAAAUCUAACUUAAAAAAUAGCUUAGUGCUUUAUAUACAUUAUAUACACAUGAGCAAAGAGCAUGAGACAUGAGACCGGGUCAGUAUGUCUCCAGGUCAGAAUUAAGGAUACACAAUGAUUUUUUGAAUGUGGAGAGGGCAUAAAUCAAGAAAGAACACUUCUUUACCUUUUAAUCUUUUUGAUUUAGUAUACAGAUUAGGCACCAUAAAUUUAUAACAAUUGUGAUGGAGAGGAAAUUAGAACAAUAUGUCAACUAGCAUCUAGGCAUGACUGGUGAACUUCAAAGGCAGGUGUGGGUGUGGGUUUCAGCCUAGGGCCUUCUACCUGUGCAUGUGUGGGACUGGAGACAGACUUCAUGCAAAUGGAAAGGGAACUCUGUUGGUUUUAUUUACUUUGCAUCUAAUGAUAGGAUAUUUGGCAUCCCUUCUGACUUGUCAGAAUUUCACUUUUUGAGGGUGAAGCAAAUGUAAUGAAUAAGGAGCUUGAUUCAUUACUCUAUGGGUUGGAGGAUAAACUCCCAUAUACUCAGGAUGGAAAGCCCCCUGCAAAUUUCAAUGAGAGUGGGGCAUAGAGAAGACCUCUCCCCCUCCUCUUCACUGUCUUGGCUUCUACAAGACCAAUACAGCAGUCACAAUCACAUCUUGGGCACAAUGAGAAGCCAAAUAUUCUCUAAGGCAGCAGUUCUCAAACUUUUUGGUCUCAGAACCCUUUUACAUUCUUAAAAAUUAUUGAGCACCCCCACCCCCAGUGCUUUUGCUUACAUGGGUUGUAUAUGUUGGUUUUUACCUUAUUAGAAACUAAAAUGUCUUAGUAUUAUUAUAAAAAUAUUUUCACCUGGUGGACCGUCUGAAAGGACUACACUUUGAGAAUCAUUCCUAUAAGACAUGCAACGACUUCAGCAAGAGAGGUCAUCCCUGUUCACCAAACUUUCUUAACAGUGUUACAUUAGAUGAUAGCCAAGGAGUUGGCCUUAUUGUCCAGAUGGACAAUUUUUUUUUACUCUUAGUUCUAACUUGGAUUAAACCCAACCUGUUUGGAGGGUGAAGAAGGAGUAGGGACAGAGGGUUACCUUCUGUAGUGCCAUGAUUGUGUUAUAAGGGAAGAAGGGAAAAGAGCAACCAUUGUAAUUUUAGCAUUUGGAUUCAAAGGCACUAAAACUUUCAAUGUUUCAUAUAGUUCCAUCACAAAUACAGAUUAAUGUAUAUGAUUAUCUUUAAAUAUGUGAUUAUAUGUGUGGGUCUUGACUUAGGAAUUUGAGAUAGGAGAGUGAUUAGGCUAUUGUUUAUGGCUUCUCAGCAAAUGGAAACUCUUGCCAAGCCAUGCUUCAAAAUCAUCUUCAGCACUGUAUGUCAGAGGCAUUGAGGACCUGUUGAGUAUCAGCUCUGCAUUAGGCAAUGUAAUUCACAGCUAAUAUAUUUUACCAGUCACUAUCCACAUGUUAUCUAUCUUCAUGUUCCCAGAAGAGUGAUUAACAGCUUUUUUGCCUCUGAGGAUCACUGUGUGAUCAGGCUAUGCUUCUGAGCUCCUCUAAGGCACAGGCAGUGGAGAAGGAAACAAGGAUAAGGAAGAUAUAAGGUGAGCAGACGGAGAGGGAGUGAAAAAGCAGACAAAUAGGAAGAAAGGAUGGUGGAGUCACAACUACCAAUCUUAGUGCCUGGGCAAGUAGCACACUUAGGAGCAACAAAGCCCUGGAUUUCCUAAACCCCAGCAGCAGGCAGAGGGCGUUUUGGCGGAGAAGGCAUGGUAGAGAUUCAACCCCUGGAGGAGACCAGGAUGUCCAAGCAGUGGCAAGGAGCGGGUGUGUCCCUGGGCCCCAGGCAUGUCCAACUCUUUGUGACCUGUUUUUGGGGUUUUCCU